rnacentral:rRNA from 1 species
AAUAGAUACCCCGGUAGUCCACGCCGUAAACGAUGAGUGCUAAGUGUUAGGGGGUUUCCACCCCUUAGUGCUGCAGCUAACGCAUUAAGCACUCCGCCUGGGGAGUACGGUCGCAAGACUGAAACUCAAAGGAAUUGAUGGGGGCCCGCACAAGCGGUGGAGCAUGUGGUUUAAUUCGAAGCAACGCGAAGAACCUUACCAGGUCUUGACAUCCCGCUGACCGCUAUGGAGACAUAGCCUUCCCUUCGGGGACAGUGGUGACAGGUGGUGCAUGGUUGUCGUCAGCUCGUGUCGUGAGAUGUUGAGUUAAGUCCCGCAACGAGCGCAACCCUUGUCCUUAGUUGCCAUCAUUCAGUUGGGCACUCUAAGGAGACUGCCGUACAAAUACGGAGGAAGGUGGGGAUGACGUCAAAUCAUCAUGCCCCUUAUGACCUGGGCUACACACGUGCUACAAUGGACGGUACAAACGGUCGCGAAGUCGCGAGACGGAGCCAAUCCGAAAAAACCGUUCUCAGUUCGGAUUGCAGGCUG